UACGGAGGGAGCUAGCGUUGUUCGGAAUUACUGGGCGUAAAGCGCACGUAGGCGGCUUUGUAAGUUAGAGGUGAAAUCCUGGAGCUCAACUCCAGAACUGCCUUCGAAACUGACGAUCUUGAGUUCGGGAGAGGUGAGUGGAACUGCGAGUGUAGAGGUGAAAUUCGUAGAUAUUCGCAAGAACACCAGUGGCGAAGGCGGCUCACUGGCCCGAUACUGACGCUGAGGUGCGAAAGCGUGGGGAGCAAACAGG
rnacentral:rRNA from 1 species